AUUGAACGCUGGCGGAAUGCUUUACACAUGCAAGUCGAACGGUAGAGGGGGCAACCCCUCGAGAGUGGCGAACGGGUGAGUAAUAUAUCGGAACGUGCCCAGUCGUGGGGGAUAACGUAGCGAAAAUUACGCUAAUACCGCAUACGAUCUAUGGAUGAAAGCGGGGGAUCGCAAGACCUCGCGUGAUUGGAGCGGCCGAUAUCAGAUUAGGUAGUUGGUGGGGUAAAGGCCCACCAAGCCAACGAUCUGUAGCUGGUCUGAGAGGACGACCAGCCACACUGGAACUGAGACACGGUCCAGACUCCUACGGGAGGCAGCAGUGGGGAAUUUUGGACAAUGGGCGAAAGCCUGAUCCAGCCAUUCCGCGUGCAGGAUGAAGGCCCUCGGGUUGUAAACUGCUUUUGUACAGAACGAAAAGGUUUCUACUAAUACUAGGAGCUCAUGACGGUACUGUAAGAAUAAGCACCGGCUAACUACGUGCCAGCAGCCGCGGUAA
rnacentral:rRNA from 1 species